AGAGAGGGUCUUUUUUAAGUAUAUGUUGGAUUUGAAGGCCUCCAAAGUUCAUUUAAACUGUAAUUAUGGGAUUAUGUUAUGGGCCCUCCUUGUGAGUAGCUUCUAAUCUCAUUGGGGAGAUGACAUAUAUGAAAAUAUCUAUAAUGAGAGACUGAGAAUUCUAAAUAAAAAGAGUUAUCCCUUCUCUUUGCCAAGGACAACUCCUAUGUUUACAUUCUUUAUUCCAUUCCCUUCCAUAGUUAGUAGUAGUCUCUCGGUAACCGAGGAUGACGAUUGUCUUUGUGUGCUUUCAUCUGUGAUGUAGAUGAGUGUGCACAAAAACACUUGUGUGUGAAGGAGAUUUAAGUGGAAAAGCCAAUGCACAGACAGUCCCACUCUCUCGGCAUUGGAAGCCUGGGUCCAAUGGCACGAAAAGUCGUUACACCUGGAGACUUCCUCAGCUGCAUUGGAUGGCCGUGUUGUCUUUUGUGCUCCAACACACCCUAAGCACUCCACAGUGCUUUGCUGCGUUGCCCUCUCAGCCGUUGAACCUUCUUAUUGGUUUCUUCCAUCUGUUCAGCCGAAGCAGUCUUCACAUGCUGGCUGAGAUAUAGAGUUUGAGAAUUAACAUGCAUAGUGGAGAAAGAACUGGCCUCAAAAUCAGAAAGAACUGAGUUUACGUCCUGCAUCUGAUUCCUGAUGGUUAUGAGAUUCUGGGUUUUAGAACUUGGACUUUCAAUGCCCCCAGGCAGCUCUCUAAAACUGUAAGUAUAGAAAAUAGCUGCUGAUAGAGGCUCUUCCCCACCAAGAGUUCUUAAACUGAUGAAGUUACAUAUAUAUGUGAAUAUAUCAUUCAUGAUCAAAGUAGUCACACUUGUUUGCAAAUAUAUAUACAAGUGACUACUUUGAUCACGAAUGACAUUUCUAAUGUACUGGUACAACUCAAAGCCUGGUCCAGGAUCUGGACAGGAAUAUGGUUGGGCAGGGUCCUUAGUACUGAUUUUCCUAGCUUGAGGGGUUUUUGAGUGGGUAGCAGGGAAAGGUAGAGGAAUUUCAAUGCAAAUUAAAGUCUAGAAUGUGAUGCAAAAGUUUACAAAGAAG
rnacentral:lncRNA from 1 species